CGCGUAGGUGGCUUUACAAGUCUGGAGUGAAAGUCCCGUUUUCAAGGUGGGAAUGGCUUUGGAAACUGUAAGGCUUGAGUGUGAGAGAGGAUAGCGGAAUUCCCGGUGUAGCGGUGAAAUGCGUAGAGAUCGGGAGGAACACCAGUGGCGAAGGCGGCUAUCUGGACCAAGACUGACACUGAAGCGCGAAAGCGUGGGUAGCAAACA
rnacentral:rRNA from 1 species